rnacentral:rRNA from 1 species
GACGAGGGCGCGAGCGUUGUCCGGAUUUAUGGGCGUAAAGAGCUCGUAGGCGGCCUGUUGCGUCCGCUGUGAAAGCCCGGGGCUUAACCCCGGGUCUGCAGUGGAUACGGGCAGGCUAGGAGGUAGGUAGGGGAGAAUGGAAUUCCCGGUGUAGCGGUGAAAUGCGCAGAUAUCGGGAGGAACACCGGUGGCGAAGGCGGUCUCUGG